GCCGCCGUAGCUCAGCGGUAAGAGCGCCCGGCUCAUAACCGGGAGGUCCCGGGUUCAAAUCCCGGCGGCGGCA
rnacentral:tRNA from 1 species